AGCCUGCCUCUGAGCUGAGGCCAGCCACGGGAUCGCCUGCAGACUGGAAAGAAAAGCUAAUUACAGGCAGAACGAUAAUUUGCGUCAAAAUGGAACAAACAGUUGGCAAGCCACUGAGAGACCAGGGUGCAUGGACACAUUUGACAGAGGACAUUCCCAGUGCCAAGAGGUGCACAGUGAUCGGCGGUUCCGGGUUCCUGGGGCAACACAUGGUGGAGCAGUUGCUGGCAAGAGGAUACGCCGUCAACGUCUUCGAUAUCCGGCAAGGGUUUGAUAAUCCCCGGGUGCAGUUCUUUCUGGGUGACCUCUGCAGCCAACAGGAUCUGUACCCAGCACUGAAAGGUGUAAGCACAGUUUUCCACUGUGCAUCACCCCCACCAUCCAGUAACAACAAGGAACUCUUUUAUAGAGUGAAUUACAUUGGCACCAAGAAUGUCAUUGAAACUUGCAAAGAGGCUGGG